rnacentral:rRNA from 1 species
AUGAGAGAUAAAUUUGUCAAUGUUUAUUAUACUCGUGGCAUGAUUAAAAAACUACAACAUUUAAAACAAGGUAGUGACACUGUAACAAAAUAUUAUGAUGAUUUACGAAGUACCUUGUUGCACUCCUUGUUAGAGGAAAGUGAAGAUGAUUUGAUGGAUAGAUUUUGGGGAGGUUUAAACCGUGAUAUUCAGGAGAUACAAAUUCAUGAAGAGUAUUAUCCUAUGGACCGUUUGUUUCGUCUUGCUUGCAAAGCUGAACAGAAAGUAAAACGGCGUGUUGUCCACAAGGAGAAUAGGAGCAAGGUGCACAUUCCAAGAGAUGAUACGGUUGUUCCUUCAACUACUAGGCAUACUAUGACAACCACGUCCGUGGUUGUGAGGACUACAUCACCUCCACCAUGUGACACAUCACCUUCGAGAGUGCCUACAUCAUCUGAGUUGAUGACAAGAGGUAAUGACAAAGGUACCGAUCUUCCACCUCCACAUGAGUAUUAUGAAUGCCUUGUCAAUUUAAAUGAACCAUGCGAUGAGCUACCCACUAGUUUGAUCACACCAGCUAUUUUAGAGGACUAUGUUUAUGAUUUGACUUUGCCAUGUGAUCAAACACUUUUGAGUGAACCCAUUGAAUUAACUAUUGAUGCGAAAGAACCAUGUGAAUCCGGGAGUACAUGA